rnacentral:rRNA from 1 species
AACGAACGCUGGCGGCAGGCUUAACACAUGCAAGUCGAGCGAGGUUUUCGGACCUAGCGGCGGACGGGUGAGUAACGCGUGGGAACGUGCCCUUUGCUACGGAAUAGCCUCUGGAAACGGAGAGUAAUACCGUAUGUGCCCGGUAACGGGGAAAGAUUUAUCGGCAAAGGAUCGGCCCGCGUUGGAUUAGGUAGUUGGUGGGGUAAUGGCCUACCAAGCCGACGAUCCAUAGCUGGUUUGAGAGGAUGAUCAGCCACACUGGGACUGAGACACGGCCCAGACUCCUACGGGAGGCAGCAGUGGGGAAUCUUAGACAAUGGGGGCAACCCUGAUCUAGCCAUGCCGCGUGAGUGAUGAAGGCCUUAGGGUUGUGAAGCUCUUUCAGCUGGGAAGAUAAUGACGGUACCAGCAGAAGAAGCCCCGGCUAACUCCGUGCCAGCCGCCGCAGUAA